UGCACAACUCUCGACAACAGAUAUCUUGGCUCUCACAUCGAUGAAGAACGUAGCAAAAUGCGAUACUUGGUGUAAAUUGCAGAAUCCAGUGAACCAUCGAGUCUUUGAACGCAAGUUGCGCCUAAGGUUAUCUAGCCAAGGGCAUGUCUGCCUUUGCAUCUUU
rnacentral:rRNA from 1 species